ACACUAAUCAUCUAGAGAUCUGGUUAAAAUGCAGGUUCUGAUUCAGUAGGUCUGGGGAGGAGCCCAAGAGCCUGAAUUUCUAACAAGCUCCCAGAUGUCUCUGAU
rnacentral:pre_miRNA from 1 species